rnacentral:rRNA from 1 species
AUUGAACGCUGGCGGCAGGCCUAACACAUGCAAGUCGAACGGUAACAGGAAGCAGCUUGCUGCUUUGCUGACGAGUGGCGGACGGGUGAGAAAUGUCUGGGAAACUGCUCUAUGGAGGGGGAUAACUACUGGAAACGGUACCUAAUACCGCAUAACGUUGCAAGACCAAAGAUGGGGAGCUUAAGGCCUCUUUGCUUCGGCUGUGCCCAGAUGGUAUUAGCUAUUAGGUGGGGUAACGGCUCACCUAGGCGACGAUCCUUAGCUGGUCUGAGAGGGUGACCGGCCACACUGGAACUGAGACACGGUCCAGACUCCUACGGGAGGCAGCAGUGGGGAAUCUUGCACAAUGGGCGAAAGCCUGAUGCAGCCAUGCCGCGUGUAUGAAGAAGGCCUUCGGGUUGUAAAGUACUUUCAGCGGGGAGGAAGGGAGUAAAGUUAAUACCUUUGCUCAUUGACGUUACCCGCAGAAGAAGCCCCGGCUAACUACGUG